rnacentral:lncRNA from 1 species
GUUGCGGACCCACGAGCAAUCUCUUCUUGGCAAGGAGCUAGGGGUCAGAGCAGGCGCUGAGAGGAAAGGAGGACCAGCUGUCCUGCAAGCAAACAAACGUUUACAUCCAUUUGGGCCAUACUCCUCAAGCUGAUAUCCCAGCUCACCAAAUCCAGAACUGUUUCUGCAGGAACCUAGAAAUACUGGACCUUCUCUCUCCUCCUGAUUCUACCCUUAGAACUUACAAACACGCCAGAGUUUAUUGUGCUAACUUGUAACUAUGUUAAAGCAACCUUGCGAAUCUUACUCACUAUCUGAUUCAGAUACCUAUGUUAUAAUUGAGUCUCUUCACUGGCAGUGAU